rnacentral:lncRNA from 1 species
AUUUCCAAAAAGUCCUAGAACUCUCAAUUCCCAUGUGUGGUUGGCAAGUUAUGAUCGAAUCGAUUUCAGAAAAUCUUGAACUUCAGAAGGCCAUAUCUCUCAAACCGUUUGGCCAAUUUUGGUGGGGUUUUUUCCUACAAGUCACAUUUGAUCCCCUCUUUCCAAAAAUAUAAAUUUCAUGAGCCAAAACUUCACCAAUCAAAAUGGCAUAUUUUGACCUUUUUCAUUUAAAUGUAAGUUUGACCAAGAGUUGACUUUUUGACUCAAACAUUUUUUCAGCAUUUGGCCAAUUGGGACAGCUCAUAAAUAUCAUUUUAAGUGUGUUUGC